GGAGCGCAGGCGACCUGGUCCAGUCCCGCGGGGACCCUCGUGCGCUCCAGAAGCAUCAGUGGCCUCCGGGAGGCCACGGGCCAGCUGCGGCUCCCACCCUGGCGACCCUGGAUUGCUCUCCCCAUUCUCAGCCUCACCCCCCAACUCCUUCCACCCCAUAUUUUGCGGCCUCUAAGGACACGAACCAUCUGCUGGCUGAAGUCGCUUGGACUGAACCCCGCCGAAGAUUUUGGCAGCUGCACACUCCCUCCCAGGGAGGUGAGGGCGCCCGGCGAAGUGUGGGGUCUGCCGCCCCCUGCCGGCCUGGCUGACGUUCGCUUCUGUUUCCACGGGGCCCAGCAAUGUUCCAAGUGCAACGUUUGGAAGGUCAUUUCAAUAUCAGAGUAAAGAGCAAUAAUGUGUGAUAAUGGCUGAAAGCAGGAAGUCCUCCACAGUCAUGAGGAUGAGAGGUCAGUUUAUUUGAAAAGAAAGCACCGACGGAGCAAAGCCCUGGGGUCCAGGACUGCUACCAUGGUGAUGGACAGAGUUACUGAGCCUCAUUCUCCACCACUGUCACAGGAAGGACAUGUCAGUCUUGGUCCUCUGUGACACCACACCAGCAUCAGAGGACCACAGAAUACUACCCAAAUGGCAGCCUGACCAGGAACAACUGCGAGAAUCCAGAUGCUGAGAUUCGCCCUUGGUGUUCCACCACGGGUCCCAGUGUCAGGUGUGAGUACUGCAGCCUGACGCAAUGCCUGGUGGCAGACUCAAGUGUCCUCAUGACUCCCACUGUGAUCUUGAUUCCAAGCACAGGGACUCCUUUUGAACAAGCACCCGCUGAGCAAAGCCCUUCAGUCCAGGAGUGCUACCAAGCUACAUGGUUUGUCUUUGAGUAUCUUUCACAUUGUUGCAACAAAACUCCAAAACAUUUCAAACCUUUGUUGUUCAAGGAUCAACUACACAUCUAAAAAGUAUAAAUCAGUCUCUACUCUUCCCCAGCCUCUCUACCCUAAAGAAGCUACAGGAAACUUUCAUGCACCAGAUUCAUGGAGAUUCUGCUGCUGCACUUGUAGGAGGCAUAAGAACAUUCAAUAAGAUUGGAAACAAACUGAAUUUCCUUAAUUCUGCCCAGCAUGAGGCCUGCAAUCAAGAUUCACUCAGGUCCUCUUAUGAAGGAAUGGAUGUCUCUUCCAGCAUUAAAAUGACGUGUUACAUGCUGAAGACAAAUAUUAGCAGAGAAGACAGUCAGUCCCAGAUAACUUAGCAGCCUGCACUGAGGCGGCACCAGGACUCACCAGAGGAGAAACCAGGAUCCUUCUGCCCUAAGUUCCAGACCCACCAUGGAUAAAACAGAGAUGCACCGAAUCAUCCUUCCCAUCUCUCACAUUCACUGGUCUCUAAACUCAUUCAGAAAAAAAUCCCAUCUCACGGUGUGUGGGGGAGACCAGUCAUGCAGAAAACAUUUAAAUAUUUUCAGAAAAGUAAAUGAGUGCACACAAAAAAAUGGUGAAAUCUGAGCAAGGUCUGCGGACUAGUUUCUGACAUUGUGCCAAUGGCAACUUCCUGGUUUUAAUCAUGAACCCUAGUUACGUAAGAUAUUGCCUGGGGGAGGUGGGGUCACAGGUACAGGGACCUCUCAGUACCGUAUUUGUAACUCCUUGUGUUUAUAAUUAUUUCAAAACAAAAAUUAUAUAUUUGGACAUAUGUGUAUAU
ensembl:lncRNA